ACAAACAGCUAAUCAGCUGUUUGUCCGCUCAGCGCGCUAGUCUGGACGCUCCCCUGCCGACAUCAAAGCCUUUGUCGGCAGCCCCGUUAUUCCUCGUGGGAUGAGGUUUACCGGGGCUGCCGACAAAGGGAUUUGAUGUCGGCAGGGGAGCGUCCAGACUAGCGCGCUGAGCGGACAAACAGCUGAUCAG
rfam:Pelodiscus sinensis unplaced genomic scaffold scaffold230, whole genome shotgun sequence.